GCCAGAGUGUUUUCGUAUCUUUUGUGCGAACCUCCAGUGUUCCAUGUCCACAGCCAUUGGCACGUUAUUCGUACCCUUUUUGUCAGCAUAAUUGUUCCUACUGAUUAUUUGUGACCUCUGACCUUACAAAUGGAUACAGAUUCCCCCACACCCAAAAGGGCAGAGGCGGACGCCUGCAUGCUCUAAGAGACGUCUCACAGCCCCGAGAGAUGGAGGAGAUUAUGCUUUGCGCAGUUGGGAGUGAUGGGCUUUUUUCACCUCCUUGUCCGCCAAAAUCUUCUCCAAAGCUCUGGCCGGAGGAGGAGUGAGGGAGAGGAGAUCGAGGGCUCCAAAAACGAUGUUGUUUCCCCCUCGGCGAUGUCAGGCCACACCAACAAAAAACCAAACGCACAAAAAAGGUGGGCUCAAUCCCGUCCGACGGACAUCAACGACCUGCCUCCUGCGCCAUGUUGGAGAGGAAGCGACGUCACGCACGUCGGCGAGCGGCCGCAGUGAGGCAGCAGGGAGAUGCUGCUGCUGCUGCUGCUGCUCGGAGAGGCUGCUGCCCCCGCGACCUGGCCUCGGAUAAGUGGAAGAAGUUGGAUGGAUGGAUGGUUGAACACUUAACAUGGCGCAUCAGCGUGCCUCACUCGUACCGGUGUAGCCAACAUCGUGGAUCAACUAUGGCCACACGUUUGCUUUUUCUUUGGCUUUGUAUGUAACAAAGUCAGUGUGCAUCAUGUCACCUUACGAGGGCUCGGUUUAGCUAAAACCAAAAGAUUUUCUCUCACCAUUUGCUUUUUCUUAGGCUUUUUGUGUCAUUUUUUAGCCCUCAUUCAAAAUGAGUGAGCUGCCAUCAACAUACCGUGCCAGACUUUUCUUUUUUUUUUACUUUAUCCAUAAAAUAUCUUGUCCUUGAACAUUGCUGCUUCUUUUUAAAGAAAUAAAUACUAAUUGCAAUGAAUGUCAUAUAUUAAAACAAAGAAAUGAAGACAAAAACAUAUUUAUUUUCAUUAUGCUACAAAAAUAUAAACUAU